rnacentral:rRNA from 1 species
CGUGUAGGCGGCUGAGCAAGUCAGAUGUGAAAUCCCUGGGCUUAACCCAGGAAGUGCAUUUGAAACUGCUUAGCUUGAGUAAGGAAGAGGGAAGUGGAAUUCCUGGUGUAGAGGUGAAAUUCGUAGAUAUCAGGAGGAACACCGGUGGCGAAGGCGACCUUCUGGCCCUAUACUGACGCUGAGACGCGAAAGCGUGGGUAGCAAACA